AGAGUUUGAUCAUGGCUCAGAUUGAACGCUGGCGGCAUGCCUUACACAUGCAAGUCGAACGGUAACAGGGAGCUUGCUCCGCUGACGAGUGGCGAACGGGUGAGUAAUAUAUCGGAACGUGCCCUGGAGUGGGGGAUAACUAGUCGAAAGAUUAGCUAAUACCGCAUACGAUCUAAGGAUGAAAGUGGGGGAUCGCAAGACCUCAUGCUCGUGGAGCGGCCGAUAUCUGAUUAGCUAGUUGGUAGGGUAAAAGCCUACCAAGGCAUCUCAGUAGCUGGUCUGAGAGGACGACCAGCCACACUGGGACUGAGACACGGCCCAGACUCCUACGGGAGGCAGCAGUGGGGAAUUUUGGACAAUGGGCGCAAGCCUGAUCCAGCCAUUCCGCGUGCAGGAGAAGGCCUCGGGUUGUAAACUGCUUUUGGACGGAACGAAAAGGCCUUUUCUAAUACAGAGGGCUCAUGACGGUACCGUCAGAAUAAGCACCGGCUAACUACGUGCCAGCAGCCGCGGUAAUACGUAGGGUGCAAGCGUUAAUCGGAAUUACUGNNCNNNAAGCGUGCGCAGGCGGUUAUGUAAGACAGGUGUGAAAUCCCCCGGGCUUAACCUGGGAACUGCAUUUGUGACUGCAUAGCUAGAGUACGGAGAGGGGGAUGGAAUUCCGCGUGUAGCAGUGAAAUGCGUAGAUAUGCGGAGGAACACCGAUGGCGAAGGCAUCCCCUGGACCUGUACUGACGCUCAUGCACGAAAGCGUGGGGAGCAAACAGGAUUAGAUACCCUAGUAGUCC
rnacentral:rRNA from 1 species